rnacentral:rRNA from 1 species
GUAGGGUGCGAGCGUUAUCCGGAAUCAUUGGGGCGUAAAGAGCUCGUAGGCGGUUCAGCAAGUCGGGCUGUGAAAUUCCGAGGGCUCAACCUCGGGAGCUGCAGUCGAUACUGCUGUGACUCGAGUCCGGUAGAGGAGAAUGGAAUUCCCGGUGUAGCGGUGAAAUGCGCAGAUAUCGGGAGGAACACCAGUAGCGAAGGCGGUUCUCUGGGCCGGCACUGACGCUGAGGAGCGAAAGCGUGGGUAGCAAACAGGAUUAGAUACCCUGGUAGUCCACGCCGUAAACGUUGGAUACUAGGUGUGGCGUUCCGACCAACGGUCGCCGUGCCGAAGCUAACGCAUUAAGUAUCCCGCCUGGGGAGUACGGCCGCAAAGGCUAA